GAGCUCAAAUUUGUAAUCUGGCCCUUUCAGGGUCCGAGUUGUAAUCUCGAGAAGUGUUUUCCGCGCCGGACUGCAUACAAGUCUGUUGGAAUACAGCGUCAUAGUGGUGAGAGCCCCGUAACUGAUGCAGAUGCCCGGUGCUUUGUGAUACACUUUCGAAGAGUCGAGUUGUUUGGGAAUGCAGCUCAAAUUGGGUGGUAAAUUCCAUCUAAAGCUAAAUAUUGGCGAGAGACCGAUAGCGAACAAGUACCGUGAGGGAAAGAUGAAAAGCACUUUGGAAAGAGAGUUAACAGUACGUGAAAUUGUUGGAAGGGAAACGCUUGAAGUCAGACUUGCUAUUCGGAAUUCAGCCGCAAGGUGUACUUUUCGAUUUGCAGGCCAGCAUCAGUUUUUGGGGGUGGAAAAGGGUGGAGAGAAGGUAGCAACCUCGGUUGUGUUAUAGCUCUUUACUGGAUUCAUCUUUGGGGAGUGAGGAUCGCAGUGCGCAAUUCAUUUUGCAA
rnacentral:rRNA from 1 species